UGCUUUAUGGCUCAGUCAGUAGAGCAGGAGACUAUUAAUCUCAAGUGUGUGGGUUUGAAUCUCACAUUGGGCAA